rfam:Candidatus Microthrix parvicella RN1 genomic scaffold, 2605
GAGAGCCGGAUGCGAUGACAAGUCGCACGUCCGGUUCGGAGGGCGGGCCGGAGAAACCCACCGAUCGAAAGACGGCAGGGCGCUCCGGUCCGACCCCUAC